GGAUCCAGACUUUGAUUAUGGCUCAGGAUGAACGCUAGCUACAGGCUUAACACAUGCAAGUCGAGGGGAAACGAUAGAGAAAGCUUGCUUUUUCUAGGCGUCGACCGGCGCACGGGUGAGUAACGCGUAUCCAACCUGCCCAUCACUUGGGGAUAACCCUGCGAAAGUAAGACUAAUACCCAAUGACGUCUCUAGAAGACAUCUGAAAGAGAUUAAAGAUUUAUCGGUGAUGGAUGGGGAUGCGUCUGAUUAGCUUGUUGGCGGGGUAACGGCCCACCAAGGCGACGAUCAGUAGGGGUUCUGAGAGGAAGGUCCCCCACAUUGGAACUGAGACACGGUCCAAACUCCUACGGGAGGCAGCAGUGAGGAAUAUUGGUCAAUGGACGAGAGUCUGAACCAGCCAAGUAGCGUGCAGGAUGACGGCCCUACGGGUUGUAAACUGCUUUUAUAAGGGAAUAAAGUGAGUCUCGUGAGACUUUUUGCAUGUACCUUAUGAAUAAGGACCGGCUAAUUCCGUGCCAGCAGCCGCGGUAAUACGGAAGGUCCGGGCGUUAUCCGGAUUUAUUGGGUUUAAAGGGAGCGUAGGCCGGAGAUUAAGCGUGUUGUGAAAUGUAGACGCUCAACGUCUGCACUGCAGCGCGAACUGGUUUCCUUGAGUACGCACAAAGUGGGCGGAAUUCGUGGUGUAGCGGUGAAAUGCUUAGAUAUCACGAAGAACUCCGAUUGCGAAGGCAGCUCACUGGAGCGCAACUGACGCUGAAGCUCGAAAGUGCGGGUAUCGAACAGGAUUAGGUACCCUGGUAGUCCGCACGGUAAACGAUGGAUGCCCGCUGUUGGUCUGAAUAGGUCAGCGGCCAAGCGAAAGCAUUAAGCAUCCCACCUGGGGAGUACGCCGGCAACGGUGCAACUCAAAGGAAUUGACGG
rnacentral:rRNA from 2 species